AUACGAAGGGGGCUAGCGUUGCUCGGAAUCACUGGGCGUAAAGGGUGCGUAGGCGGGUUUUUAAGUCAGGGGUGAAAUCCUGGGGCUCAACUCCAGAACUGCCUUUGAUACUGAAGAUCUUGAGUCCGGGAGAGGUGAGUGGAAUUGCGAGUGGAGAGGUGAAAUUCGUAGAAAUUGGAAAGAACACCAGUGGCGAAGGCGGCUCAGUGCCCCGGUGAGGACGCUGAGGCACGAAAGCGUGGGGAGCAAAAAGGAGUAGAUCCCCUGGGAGUCCCCGCCGAAAACGAUGAAUGCCAGCCGUUAGUGGGUUUACUCACUAGUGGCGCAGCUAACGCGUUAAGCAUUCCGCCUGGGGAGUACGGUCGCAAGAUUAAAACUCAAAGGAAUUGGCGGGG
rnacentral:rRNA from 1 species